rnacentral:lncRNA from 1 species
UAGAAGAGGGGUUCAAAGAAGGAGGGGGGUUAUCACGGCCUAAGGAUGAUGAGGGAUAUAUAAGACAGGAGCUGGAACAUGUUAAAAGAUCGAUAGUGACAGUUAUGGCAAUGUCGUUGAGAUUUUUUGGAUGUAUAAUCCACGAUGUUGUAUGCGUUCACUUUGGGGCUCUAGCGGCAUUGAAAUCAGGACAUACACGAGUCAGGACGAUGAAUUUACGGUACAUGAGUUACAUACGCGAAGCCUGUCAGUACAAUAUGAAAAGUCCUUCGAUACUAUGUCGAGAUGAAAUUGACUAGUGCGUCAUUUUCACUAGGCUCUUCCACUGCUGCACAUUGCAAAUCACAAAGCGCGACAUCAGUAUCUGACUUCUAGUAUAGGCAGGGUUGACCUGCAAGAGCACAGUGAAAAACCGUAAAAACAAGCCAAGUAUCGGAAAGAUAAUGUGGCCUGGCCAAGAGAUUUGCAUUUGCGGGACUCGUUGCCUACGGAAUGUCCCUGAAGCAGCGGCUCCAAGCACCACAUUGAAACUCAGAAACAGCUCUUACUGUAUCAGCACAUCUUCCGAAAGUGAAUCUUCUGCAGCAAAGGGUGCCAAAUUUUGUCAUCGCUACAGAUUGGAUUACCGCCUCGAUCAAUCCUUUUUUUGAGAUAUGUUUACUUUCCGAAAAUAAGCGGUUCGGCUCAUGGUUCAGAUUUUUCCCAGGCCGCGAAUGGUAGCCGCCUGCCAUCUUUUAACAUCAUCAGAGGCGUUAAAAACGCUCCAGGCGCGUCAAGUGAUGUGGCAGCAGGCUAAAGAUGCUGGGAGCGUUGCCACCUGUCUUUGGUACUAUUGGGCGAUUGUGCAACUCGGAGCAUUGUAUCCUGGAAAGUCCCUUAAUGCUGCCCAAGGACCCUCAGCAAUACUCAGGAUUACUUGGCAUUGGCCAAGGCAUUGACAUAAUUCGAAAGAGCCAACUUAUAGUACUACUGUGCAAGGCCUGCAAUCUUGGGUUGUGCUGCCUGAAGAUCAUUUCAGACCUGUCACGUUAGAAUCGCAAUGAGAGACCGAGGUUAUUUUGUGUGCCUUCGUGUUACAGUCAAUUAUCCACACACAGGACUGUUACGAAUACGAAAAAUAACCGAAGACAAAACGGAGCCAGUCCCAUGAAUUUUGUAUAAAUUCAUAUCGGGACUAAGUAUAUGUGCUCGCAUGCGAUACUGGAAAGUGAUGGAAGAAUUGUAUUUGGACCUUGGUCACGGUGAAGUCCGGAUGAGGACAUUUAAGCAGCAUCGAUGAACAUCUUCAAUGCGGAGCAAAGCCUUAGUAUAUCAUUUUCCGGACCCGAUUCGACUAUUGUGACGAUGCUGACUGGAGCGCUACCUUAUUCAGUGCAUCCAUAAAAUUAGACCCGCUUCCUCGUGCUUUCGCCAACUCAUCCCUAUGCACGCAUGAUUUGGCAAGGCGGGAUACAGCCUAUCAACUUCUUCUUUCUGGAAUAGUCUUCCAGCCUGAAGUGUUGAUAGUUUGAAGCAAAAUACGGGCUACACACUCAUGACUUCGGCCCUUUCAUCAAAUUUGUGUCGUGCUUUUUGGCUUCAUUUUUUUGUGUUUGAAAAAACGAUGUUUAAAUACGCGAUUCGCCUGCUCUCCAUAGUGGGAUUUUGCUGCCCGGUGAGAAAAUGCGAAUUCAGAAAUCAGCAACAGUCGCUGUGAGUCCUUGAAUGGGUUAACAUAUGGUCGCAUUGAGUAGAUAUAGCCUCCGUCAACUCCCACCUUCUUUGGCUUCGACACUUGCCAUGUUUUUGCCAUCGUUAUUUCAGCUAUAUGUUGCUGAGGGUCAAUUGGGACUGACUAUUAUCACAAGGUACUACAAUCUUCUUCGUACGACGAACAAGUGCUUGCGAUUGAAGUACAGUUCACUGCAAGAAAUCCAACUCAGCGCCACGUCCCCCUCCACCCCCACCACACACACUUCUUGAUGGUGACCACAUAAUAUGGGGGCGGUCUUCCUGUUCCAAGUUCAUGGUUACUGGAAGUCUUAUCUGUAAGUCAUUCUACCCGCAUACUGAAGGGUUUGCAAAUUGGUAUUCCAGUUAUGUUGUUGUCUUCGACCAGAAAGCGUUUCCAUCAUGUGCCACAGUACAUGUGAUGUGGUAGCAAUUAAUCCACCUAGACACUCAGAGUCCGAGAUAAUUGGUACCCAAAGGACUUCAAACCGAAAAUACCAAUCAAAUUGAGUUGUGUGAUCGUGACGAUCGAAUCAGACGGUAACGAUUCGGCUUCUACACCGCUCAAUUGAAUCUUCGCCUCACUCAUUGUGUUUUAGCUUAUUUACAGUCCUAUAGUUACUUGACCGGUAUAAAAGAGGUAGAUGUCAAGUUUGAGAUCUGAAUGGAGACUUAUCUGA